GCGCUGCGCUUUGUCCAUAUCUUGCUUCUUACCAGCGUCUAAGAAAUGACGCCAUCAACCUGUGGUUUCAGGGUAGAGGAAUAUCGCCCUCACGAUAUAGCUGUAAUCGCGGCCUUGAGGUGAAAUCAACGGAAUUUUGUCAUCACGGUUCACUGAAUUUGCGCUCCGAUUGCCUUGAAUACAGGACGGUCAGACUGUUACUGGCUAAAACUCCCUUUAUCGCAAACAUUUUUUCCAUUGAACUCCGAUUACGCAACAGCGCGAAAUGAUUUCCCGUAACGCCUGGUGAGGAAUGGGACACAAAACCGUGAGUGCCUUAUGGAUAGUCAUGAUCGCUGUCGCUGUCUACUGGCUAUACGAAAAAUUCGCAAUGCAUACUAAAAAAGCAUUCAAAUGGGAUUUGCCUAUACUUUCUUGAAGUGAAAAUGCCUAUGUGCCUAUGUGUGAUUGUGAAUAAAUGAUGUUUCUUAAUGA